AGUCGAGCGAGUCUGCCUUGAAGAUCGGAGUGCUUGCACUCUGUGAAACAAGAUACAGGCUAGCGGCGGACGGGUGAGUAACACGUGGGUAACCUGCCCAAGAGAUCGGGAUAACACCUGGAAACAGAUGCUAAUACCGGAUAACAACAGAUGAUGCCUAUCAACUGUUUAAAAGAUGGUUCUGCUAUCACUCUUGGAUGGACCUGCGGUGCAUUAGCUAGUUGGUAGGGUAACGGCCUACCAAGGCGAUGAUGCAUAGCCGAGUUGAGAGACUGAUCGGCCACAUUGGGACUGAGACACGGCCCAAACUCCUACGGGAGGCAGCAGUAGGGAAUCUUCCACAAUGGACGCAAGUCUGAUGGAGCAACGCCGCGUGAGUGAAGAAGGGUUUCGGCUCGUAAAGCUCUGUUGUUGGUGAAGAAGGACAGGGGUAGUAACUGACCUUUGUUUGACGGUAAUCAAUUAGAAAGUCACGGCUAACUACGUGCCAGCAGCCGCGGUAAUACGUAGGUGGCAAGCGUUGUCCGGAUUUAUUGGGCGUAAAGCGAGUGCAGGCGGCUCGAUAAGUCUGAUGUGAAAGCCUUCGGCUCAACCGGAGAAUUGCAUCAGAAACUGUCGAGCUUGAGUACAGAAGAGGAGAGUGGAACUCCAUGUGUAGCGGUGAAAUGCGUAGAUAUAUGGAAGAACACCGGUGGCGAAGGCGGCUCUCUGGUCUGUUACUGACGCUGAGGCUCGAAAGCAUGGGUAGCGAACAGGAUUAGAUACCCUGGUAGUCCAUGCCGUAAACGAUGAGUGCUAAGUGUUGGGAGGUUUC
rnacentral:rRNA from 1 species